rnacentral:misc_RNA from 1 species
AAAAAAAAAUUUAAUUCGAUAUUAUUCUUUAAUUUAGUACAAAACCCCAAUACCCGUCGAAAUCUCUAGUUGGUACCACCACCAAGGAGACAGUACACAAGAUAACAACCAUAUGUCUCUAUUUCAUCCUUCUUGACCUUUCACUUCACCCACGUCUGAAUGACAAUGAAAGCCCAUUCACAAUCCAAUAUGCCUCUUUCGUUUGCCCACACACUUCACCAAAAUUUUCUCAGAUCGAUGGGAUUGCAACCAACUUUACAUAUAUGCAAACAUGAAUUAUUACCUUUCUUUUCUUUCUUUCUUAUUGUUUUCAAGGGAUGCUUUAAUUCUCUAGACAUGCUUAUAUAGAAGAUGCUCAGAAAGACAAUCUUGCUUAUACUUCGGGAUUAUUUUAAUUUGUUCUUUUUCAUGUGUGUUCCAUGGCAUGAAAAAAUGACGAUAAUUAAGUUGGAAAGAAAUUUGAUAAGUGAUCUGGUUUUGCAAUUCGUUCCAUCAAAUACUUUGGAAUUGUGUUGUAUUUCUACCAAUAAGUUUGGAUGUAUAUGAG